CCUCUCUCACAGGCACAUCGGUUAGAGAGAGAAAGAGGCCUUAGAGAAAGAGCGAGAGAGAAAUGGGGAGGAUGUCUAGCGAAAUCGAAUCAGGUGUUUACUCAAGCUCCGCAAUCGGCCUUGGAUCCCCACUUGUCGGCCACCAGAGCGACGGUGAGUGGCCGUUCUCGAGCUGGACCGCCGUCGAAGGCGGCGAGGGAGCCGACCAGAAUGUGAGGUGUCCGAAGAAGAAGACCACGAAGAAGAAGAAGAAGCAGGUGCUGUUGGAAGGCUACGUGGAGGCGACCGGCGACGAGGAUGAUCUGGUGAGGACGAAGAGCUUGACGGACGAGGAUCUGGACGAAUUGAAGGGGUGCUUGGAUCUAGGUUUCGGUUUCAGCUACGAUGAGAUUCCUGAGCUGUGCAGUACCUUGCCUGCGCUUGAGCUGUGCUACUCAAUGAGCCGGAAGUUCAAUGACGAGAGCCUCAAGUCUCCUGAGGCGGAGGUGGAAGCCCCUGAGUCGCUGCCAGAGCCGGCCGCCAGUCCAAUCGCCAGCUGGCGGAUCUCCAGCCCUGGUGACCAUCCCGAAGAUGUUAAAGCAAGGCUCAAGUUUUGGGCUCAGGCUGUGGCGUGUACUGUCAGAUUGUGCAGCUAAAUUGCAUCUGUUUUCCUGGUUUACUCGACCAUUGGUCAGAGGAAAUGGAUGGAGAUUUUGAUAAACUGGGGGCUUCUACAGUGAGGUGCCUUGGGGACAUACCUUUUGCCUAGCCAGUUCAAGGCAAAUCUCCCCCUUCCAGGCGUAGGAAGAACUUCGGGAACAUUUUAAUAGGCGUUGGCUUUGAAGAAACGGGAAGGAAAGGAGGAUAUUCAGCUAAUAGGGCCCGUCCUCUCCUUAAUGAGGGAGCUUCGUCUCCAUCUCCAACUAACUCCAGACCUCUGCAUAUGCUGAGGUAACUAAUCUAACUGGUUGAAUAUGUGGUGCAUCAUUUGGCUGCUCACUACAUUUAUCCGUAAUUCUCUUGCACCCUCCCUAACCUGUUCGGACUCAAUCUAAUUUAUCCUAUGGCUUGAUGUGUGAACGUCUGGGGCCAGCCUUGUAGAGGCAAGUCAGAAGUGGGAUAGAUGACUCGAAGCACCCUUAUAGGUCCGAAAACUCUCUGUUAAUUUCUUUGCUUUUGUUUCAUUCCUUUCUUUGCUAAUGAGAAGGAUUCUGCCAUGAGGAAUGAGUAGAACCCUUUUUAUCUGCACCAAAGUGCAAUUAGCUGUCAAAUUGACUGACUUUUUACUGAAUUGUUGAAGAUGCCUGAGCUAUUGCAUACAACAGCUAGCUGUUGUGCGUAGCAAGUGUCCACCAUAAGUUCAAGUUGCCUCUCGCAGGGCAUAUGCAACUGAAUUUAACCAAAAGACUGAAGGAUCCCAGUUGUUAUGCAUCUGCAAUUGGUAUCUUUUCCUUGUUCAUUUUAAGUUAAUGCUCCACUGCAAUAAUAUCUAGGUUCUAUGCUUCUGUGCUAUAUAUUUGGUCCACUGAGUACUGAACCUGCUGGAAAUUGUUGCAGUAUGUUCUACACCUCAGUGGGUUCUCUGUUAUUUGGAGGGUGUUAAACUCUGCUGGAAAUUGUUGCAGAGUUUUGUCCACCUCAGUGGAUUCUCUCUGUUAUUUGGAAGGUGUUAAACUCUUCAAGGGUCGAAGAAGAUAUUCCACCAUGGUUAAUGUACUGGGCAGCUGCCUGUAACAAUGACUCUUCUACAUAGCAGAAUGAAUUCUCAUCUCUUUUGAUGAAUUAGUGGUAACUUCAUACGCAAUAAUUUGGUAGGUCUCCCUGCUAGAGUGACGAGGGCAUGAUGGCAGGUGUCUGGCCCCCAUACUUUUCAAGCUCUCCGGUUUCUUCCGUGACCCCCUCUGAAUUCAUUUUAUACACAGACACACACACACAAACACACACACACACACAUAUGUAUGUAUGACUGUUACUUUGGUUGGGAGGGGAUCUGAAGAGGCUUCGUAUGUUGCGAAGAAAAGUUGUGAAAGAUUUGGCUCCUUGUUUCAGAGGAUGAGCAGAGGAUAAGAAUUAGGAUAUGCUAAGAGCAAUUAUAAAAGGAAAAAGAUAUCUCAGUAAUGAUAACUACACAGUCAGCUUUGAUGAAACCCAGCGUGGCCCUACCUGAUUGGGCCAGGUCAGACCCGACCAUGCACAGACUAUGUCGGGCCUGUAUAUCGUGUAACCUGUGGGCUGGCUGGAGCUGACUUAGCCUUUGCAUAUAUGUGUGCACAACACGGGAGCUGCGCUUCGUGCAAAGUGAAUAUAAUUUCAAUUUAUAAAAUUAGAUCUUUAUAAAAGACGAUGAUGUAUGAUCUAUAUUGUUUGCAUCUAUAUUUUGAAAUGUAAGUAUACAUAUUUAUGAAUUUAUUAAAUUAUUAAAGUAUUAGCAACUAAUAAGGAGAAUGAGGAGUUGGAAAAAUAGAAAGUUCAGUGGCGGGACUUGUAGGAUGAGAGAGGAGAUGAGAGAAGGGAGGGGAGAAGAAUAAUAAGAGAAAAGUGGGAGAGGUGUGGUUGAUGGUUAGAAACAUAUAUGAGUUGACAUUUUUAUUCA